rnacentral:lncRNA from 1 species
UGUGUGUGUGUGUGUGUGUGUGUGUGUGUGUGUGUGUGUAGAGAAAAUCUUUGUGACAACUUAAUCAUUUGUUUUUCCUUAAAGAAACAUAAUAGUUCACAGGCAUCUUUGGGAAGCAGCCUUGGAAGCUAUCAAGAGACAAAGGAGCAUAAAAUUUUGUGAGGAAGACCUUUACCAGGAGGCAUCUAAAAUUCAAGAAGAAGUCAGGGUUUUGUGGUUUUCCAGGGUAACUUGCACACUUCCCAUGGUUUUUAUCCUGAGAAGUAUUGAAUAAGCUUACAGUGAAAGAUCCAGCAGAGGCACUCAAAAAUCAGGACAAAAUUGAAUUAUUUGAAGGAAAAUUGAUAAACCUGGAGACUGUAAUUCCAAUGAAAUAAACCAGACACACA